rnacentral:rRNA from 1 species
AGAGUUCGAUCCUGGCUCAGGAUGAACGCUGGCGGCGUGCUUAACACAUGCAAGUCGAACGAGAAAUGAAGACGGAAACCUUCGGGCGGAAGGCUUCAUUUCGAGUGGCGGACGGGUGAGUAACGCGUGGGUAACCUGCCUCAUACAGGGGGAUAACAGUUGGAAACGACUGUUAAUACCGCAUAAGACCACAGCACCGCAUGGUGCGGGGGUAAAAACUCCGGUGGUAUGAGAUGGACCCGCGUUCGAUUAGCCAGUUGGCGGGGUAACGGCCCACCAAAGCGACGAUCGAUAGCCGAUCUGAGAGGAUGACCGGCCACAUUGGGACUGAGACACGGCCCAAACUCCUACGGGAGGCAGCAGUGGGGAAUAUUGCACAAUGGGGGAAACCCUGAUGCAGCGACGCCGCGUGAGUGAAGAAGUAUUUCGGUAUGUAAAGCUCUAUCAGCAGGGAAGAAAAUGACGGUACCUGACUAAGAAGCCCCGGCUAACUACGUGCCAGCAGCCGCGGUAAUACGUAGGGGGCAAGCGUUAUCCGGAUUUACUGGGUGUAAAGGGAGCGCAGACGGCAAUGCAAGUCUGAAGUGAAAGGCGUGGGCUCAACCCAUGAACUGCUUUGGAAACUGUAUAGCUUGAGUGUCGGAGGGGUAAGCGGAAUUCCUAGUGUAGCGGUGAAAUGCGUAGAUAUUAGGAGGAACACCGGAGGCGAAGGCGGCUUACUGGACGACAACUGACGUUGAGGCUCGAAGGCGUGGGGAGCAAACAGGAUUAGAUACCCUGGUAGUCCACGCGGUAAACGAUGAAUACUAGGUGUUGGUGCCCAAAGGGCAUCGGUGCCGUCGCAAACGCAAUAAGUAUUCCACCUGGGGAGUACGUUCGCAAGAAUGAAACUCAAAGGAAUUGACG